rnacentral:lncRNA from 1 species
UUUGUGAUGCUUUAUUUAUGUAUAUACUUAAAGUUCAAAUGUGAUGUAUGCUUUACUCCUUAUUUGAUACUUGCAUUUGUCGCAAGCACCUUGCUGUUCUGAGUAAUGGUUGAUAUCUUACAUUUAGCCGAGAAGCUGAAAACUUACGAGUUGGAAAACCUUCUAGAUAUACCUAAAAAGACCUUGAAGAUAUCUUCUACUAGACUGGACGAGCUGAUUGACUGGCGAUGGAGAUGCAGCAGUGACCUGCAAUUCUUUCUGCUCUGGAUGGUUCAUUUUGAUAUCUUUUUUAUAUCUGACAAGACACAAGAAAACAACAUAUCUAUCCUAUUAUAUUUACCACUAUCAUCUACAGUGAGUGCUAAGUUGCCCAUAAAUUUUAGUUGACUUCUGUUCAGAGUGAUCUGAAAAAUAGAUAGCAAAAAAGAUUAGUGGGUAUUACAUUUAGAUUAGCUACAUUUGGGCAAAUAAAUGAGUAGAAGUCAAUUUUGUUUGCUUGAUGUUUCACUUCUUUGAUCUCUUCAUCAUUCUCAUUUUGUUUCAUUGCUUACCAUUUGUUCGAAAUUUUUUCUAGCAGUGGCAAGCAUGGUUAGGGCGAGCAACGAGGGUUCCUGUAGUGCAUAACCAUUUCAAGUCGCCCAAGUUCUAAAGAGAGAUCAGAAGUGCCAGCUACUGAAGCAAAAAAAAGGACCUGAUACACAUUGUAAUCAUGGACUGCUGAUAUACCUGAUGCAUUUCUUCAUGAUGGUCGAUUUCCUUUCACCGGAUCUUACAUGUUUAAUUAUGUGUGCUCAGAACCAAAAACUGAUUGAGAUCUUCAGUUCUUACUUGCAGAUGUUCUGUUAUUCAGAGUAAUUCAGUUUCCAGUCUCUGUGUAUUAAUCAAAUUAUGGGUUAUUUUCAACCAUAUAGGCUUUUAUUAUAUGUUCAGUUAUGCUUCCAUGGGUUUUGCAUAUGUAUUAACAAAACAACCAGACUGCUAUUAUGUAUAUACUUGGAUCAAAGGGUGUACAAUUAAUUUGCUCUUACGAAAGGAAUGAGUAGGCAGCUAGCAGAAUGGGAGGACAAUCAUGACAAGCGAACGAACACAUAAAUAGUAAUCCCACAAUUUUUACAACUGCAUUCCACUUUAAUUUGGUAUGGACAUGCAUUUUUAUCCUUGGAGUACUUUGGAUUUUAAGUGGGAAUCAUUGGUUCUUUUCUUCUUAAUAUUUUACUUCUUAUAAUUACAAAUACCAAUUUUAGAGAAUUGAGCUCGUACUUAAAAUUCAAUUGAGUAUGAAGCAACUGCCCAUUGUGUGAAAGAAACAAUUAUAACAUUGUACUCUAACAAAUCACACAUAUAGAGAAAUGUUAUUUUCGAGUCUCCUUAACCUACUGAUCUUUUUUUAGAUAUAUGAAACUUGCAUUUGUUUUCUUAAUUCUUUUGCAAUGCAGGUGAUAUUCCUUGGUUGCAGCUGACGCUAAAAAAAAUUACUCCUGAAGCACUAGAAGUGCCCUCUCUAUGGCGCAUCACUCACUGGAUCCAGAUGGGCAACAUUCCGCUUCAAGAUUAAAGAGUACAGUUUUUGCAUGCUAUCAUUGCUUAUCCAAGAGUAAUCUACCAUGUGCCUAAUUGUUAUGACCGGCCAGGUCUAUGGCCGCCGCAGGCCCAACAGGCAGGCGUAGGCCAGCAAGUUACCUUAGUUUUAUUCAGAUUAGGCAAGUUAUCUCAGGAUUGAUUCUUCUACAAGUUAUCUAGGAUAUAAAUAUAGAUUGUAAGACUCUUUUGGAUGGAAGCAAUAAAGACUAUUAUUAUCUUUUGUUGCCCGGCUCCUAGAGGAGCCGGAAACCCUAGCCGCCGCAACCUAGCCGCCACCGCCCUCAACCCUAGCCGCGACGGCGCCCUGCUGCCGGCACGCCCGCUCCUCGCCGCGCCCACUUCCUCUUUGCCCCUACAACCUACGCAGUAGAGCCGGUAGGAACCCUAGUCCUACCAAUUUGGUAUUCAGAGACCACGUUGUGAUCAUGUCGAUGCCGCCAUCACCGCCGCCGCUGCCCGUCGGCACCACUACGCCCAUGACGACGGCGCCAAGCAUCACCGCGCCGACCACAUCCGCCGGGACCUCGCUGGCGUGUCCCGUCUCCUCCUCGGCACCACCAGCACCGGCGUCUCCGGGCGCAUCUCCACCACCACCGCUGGCCGCCUUGUCUCCGGAGCAACUCGCCGCCACGCUACAUCACCUCGUCACCGUCGUCCACUGGCUUCAGCUCCACCAGCAAUAUGGGGCCGGGGCCUAUGCUCAACCGCCAUCGGCCCCGAUCGCCGCCCCUGGUCUUCUCCUACAGCAGCAGCCGCAGUACGGGGGCGGGGCGAGCCCCUUCGCGCCACCACCAGGACCGUACCAGGGCGCGGCCGCGUACGGCGGGCCCCUGUUCGGGCCGAUCCAGGCGAGAUUGGCAUCCGGGCCAGCACCGGCCGCGACGCCCCUCUGGCCUUUGCCGCCGGCCACCUCGGCCGCCUCCUAGCUGCAGCAGCUGCCGCCCACCGUCUGGCCGGUUCAGCAGAUGCCGUUCCCCGCAUGGCCGGCCCAGCAGCCGCCGCCGACGGCGUCCCAGGGCCUGCGUCCACCGCCAUUCUCCACGCCCUCAUCAGCCGGGACCACCUCGGGCGCGGCCUCGACUAUCGGGUUACCGAUCCAUCAGGUCCAGUUUCCCCCGUCCCCGUCCCCCCUGCCAGCAUGGGCGGCGGGGUCUUCGCCUUCAUCGGUCUACUCCACGACCCCGGUUGAGCCGACUCCGUUUUCGCAGUUCGGCGGGCCAUCCGGCCCCGCCGGCCAGUACCCGGACUACUCCGAUCAGGCACCUCCGGCUUCACUCUUCCGAGCCCCCGCGCCUGCUCAGCACGGCGGGCCGCAGCAGACACCGCCGCUGUUCACCAAACUCGACUUCGCCACCUACGAGGGCACGGAGGACCCCCUCAACUGGCUCAACCAGUGCGAACAGUUCUUUCGAGGGCAGCGGACGCUCGCUUCUGAUCGUACCUGGCUCGCGUCCUAUCAUCUUCGAGGCGCAGCACAGACCUGGUACUACGCCCUCAAGCAGGACGAGGGCGGCAUGCCACCAUGGGAGCGCUUCCAGGAGCUCUGUCUUCUCCGUUUUGGGCCUCCUAUCCGCGGGAGCCGACUGGCGGCCCUCGGCCGUUUACCAUUCACAUGUACGGUGCAGGACUACGCCGAUCGCUUCCAGGCCCUGGCAUGCCACGCGCCGGGCGUCUCCGCGACCCAGCGCGCCGAGCUCUUUGUGGGCGGUCUGCCGGACCAUAUCCGCGUGGACGUCGAGCUCCGGGAUCCCCCCGAUCUCCAGACGGCCAUGUACUACGCCCGGGCCUUCGAGCAGCUGGCCCAGGCACUGCAGCCGCCACUCGGACGGAGUGGCCGCCAGCCCAGUCGGCCAGCACCGACUUCCUCAGCCCCGGGUCGGCCUCUCCCAUCCGCGACGGCCACAUCCCCGGCUGCCACACGGCCCUUCCGUCGGCUGUCACCGGCCGAGCAGCAGGAGCGUCGCAGUCAGGGUCUCUGCUUCAACUGCGAUGGGCCCUAUACGCCGACCCAUGUCUGCCCCCGCCUCUUUUAUUUAGAGACGGUCGACUACACCGAGGAGAACGACUCGCCCGAUCCGUUACAUCCGCCUGCGGCGCCCGAGGACGCGGCCGCGGAUUCCGCAGCGACGGCGUGCGUCGUCUCCCUUCAUGCCCUGGCCGGCAUCCGGGGCGAGCAGACCAUGCUGCUGCCGGUGACGAUCCAUGGCGAGCGCCUGGUGGCCCUGCUAGAUACGGGCUCCACACACAACUUUCUGCCCGAAUCGACCAUGCGUCGGCUAGCCCUCCCGACGAUGGGCGGGGAGCGCCUGCGGAUCACAGUGGCGAACAGUGAUCGCCUCCGGUGCCAUGGGCUAGCCCGCGAUGUUCCCAUCUCCAUCAGCGACGAACACUUUUCCAUCACUUGUGCAGGGAUCGAUCUCGGCUGCUUCGACUUCAUCCUCGGGGUGGACUUUCUCCGGACCCUCGGCCCCAUCCUAUGGGAUUUCGACGCACUCAUGAUGACAUUCUGGCGACAGGGACGCCGCAUCCGGUGGGAGGGCAUUGGGGGCACCGCGGCUGCCGUGCCACAUCUCCAGCUGGCUGCCGCGUCCUCGGAGGUUGAGCACCCCCUACUGGAUUCUCUUCUAGAGCAGCACAACAACCUCUUCGACGCUCCGCGGGGUCUUCCGCCUGCCCGGGUGUACGACCAUCAUAUUCACCUCGUACCAGGCUCCACUCCGGUGGCGGUACGGCCCUACCGCUACCCCCAGCUGCAGAAGGAUGAGUUGGAGCGCCAGUGUGCCCUGAUGCUCGCCGCAGGCAUCAUCCGGAUCUCCACGUCACCCUUCACGGCGCCGGUGCUUCUCGUCCGUAAGUCCGACGGCACAUGCCGCUUCUGCAUCGACUACCGCGCCCUCAACGCACUCACGCUCAAGGACAAGUUCCCUAUACCGGUGGUCGACGAGCUCUUGGAUGAGAUCCAUGGGGCACGCUUCUUCACCAAGCUCGAUCUUCGGUCGGGCUAUCAUCAGGUGCGCAUGCAUCCGGACGACAUCGCCAAGACGGCGUUUCGCACCCACCAUGGCCACUUCGAGUUCUUGGUGAUGCCUUUCGGCCUCGCCAACGCCCCGGCGACUUUCCAAGCCCUGAUGAACGACGUCCUUCGACCCUACUUACGGCGAUUUGUGCUUGUUUUCUUUGAUGACAUUCUUAUCUACAGCGCCACCUGGGCCAAACAUCUCCAGCACGUCGCCAUCGUCUUCAACGAGUUUCGGGCGCACCACCUCCACCUUAAGCGCUCAAAGUGCUCGUUCGGGACACCUACCGUCGCCUACCUCGGCCAUGUCAUCUCGGCCGACGGAGUGGCUAUGGACGCUGAUAAGGUGGCGGCCGUCUCCGCCUGGCCGACGCCUUACUCACCGCGGGCUCUCCGCGGGUUCCUCGGACUCGCUGGCUACUACCGGAAAUUUAUCCGGGAGUUCGGACUCAUCGCGGCGCCCCUCGCGCGGUUGCUUCGCCGCGAUGCCUUCGCCUGGGACGCUGAGGCGACGACGGCAUUCGAGGCCCUCAAGGGGGACCUCACGACGGGCCCCGUCCUCCAGAUGCCCGACUUCGACCGUCCGUUCGUGGUGGACUGUGACGCCUCGGGCGCCGGGUUCAGCGCAUUACUUCAUCAGGGCGAUGGGCCCCUCGCCUUCUUCAGCCGGCCUUUCGCUCCGCGCCAUCUUAAGUUGGCCGCUUACGAGCGGGAGCUCAUUGGCCUCGUCCAGGCCGUGCGUCAUUGGCGGCCAUACUUGUGGGGGCGGACCUUCCACAUUCGCACGGACCACUACAGCCUGAAGUUCUUGCUGGAUCAACGGCUGUCGACCGUACCGCAGCACCAGUGGAUCAGCAAGCUCUUCGGCUUCGACUUCUUCGUCGAGUAUCGGUCGGGCCGUCUUAACACCGUGGCCGACGCGCUAUCCCGUCGCGAUUCCGACCUCGCGCCAACCGCCGACGCGUCCGCCGGGACGGCCCUGUGCAUCCGCUUCAGGCCAUCGUUCGGUCUCUUCACCGACAUUCGACGCGCCACUGCGACGGCCGAUGACGCCGCACUUCUUCAGCAGCAGCUUGCGGUCAGCGACUUGGAGGAGCCCUGGCGCUUCUCUGACGGACUGCUCCUGCAUGGACACCGGAUCUUUGUUCCGGCGCAUGAUGAUCUCCGUCACCAGGUGUUGCAGCUCGCUCACUCGGCGGGCCAUGAGGGUGUGCAGAAAACCCUCCAUCGUCUUCGCGCCGACUUCUACGUCCUUGGCGAUCGUGCCCUGGUCCGCGACUGGGUUCGGUCUUGUCAGACUUGCCAGCGCAACAAGACAGAAACCCUGAGACCGGCGGGGCUCCUUCAGCCCUUGGAGGUGUCGUCUCAGGUUUGGGCGGAUAUCUCCUUGGACUUCAUCGAGGGCCUUCCCAAGGUAGGGGGCAAGUCAGUCAUCCUCACGGUGGUCGAUCGCUUCUCUAAGUAUGCCCACUUCAUCGCGUUGGGCCAUCCAUACACAGCGGCAUCCGUGGCCCGGGCUUUCUUCGACGGCAUAGUCUGUCUACACGGGUUCCCGAUGUCGAUCGUCAGUGAUCGGGACCCAAUCUUCAUGGGCCAUGUCUGGCGCGACCUCUUCAGGAUGGCGGGUGUCCAGCUCCGCCUGAGUAUGGCGUUCCAUCCUCAGAAUAACGGUCAGUCUGAGGUGGUUAACAAGGUCAUUGCCAUGUAUUUGCGUUGUGUGACAGGUGAUCGACCUCGCGCUUGGGUGGACUGGCUAUCUUGGGCGGAGUACUGCUACAACACUUAUUAUCACUCCACCCUGCGCGCGACGCCAUUUGAGGUGGUCUAUGGUCGACCACCCCCGCCUAUACUUCCGGUCGACCCGGAGACGGCUCGGACAGCAGUAGCGGGUGACCUUAUCUGCACCCGUGAUGAGAUGCUGGCUGAGGUCCGUCAGCGUCUCCUUCAGGCCCAGCAGACGGCCAAGCACUACUACGACGAUCAUCAUCGCGAGGCGGAGUUCGCAGUGGGUGACUGGGUGUGGCUGCGUCUUCUCCACCGCUCUACGCAGUCACAGGACCCGCGCGCAAAGCGCAAGCUUGGCCCUCGCUACGCCGGGCCCUUCCCUAUCAUGGAGCGCAUUGGGAAGGUGGCCUAUCGUCUUCAGCUUCCAGCCCGCGCCCGCAUCCACGACGUGUUCCAUGUGGGGCUGCUCAAACCUUUCCGUGGCGAGCCACCGGCGGCUCCUCCGACGCUUCCUCCAACCGCCGAUGGUCGCAUUCUUCCAGAGCCAGCAAAGGUGUUGCAGGCUCAGCUCCGUCGUGGCGUCUGGUUCAUCCUAAUUCAGUGGGCGGGCCUUCCGGAGGAAGAGGCGACUUGGGAGCAGCGUGAGGAUUUCCGUCAAAACUAUCCAGACUUUCAGCUCGAGGACGAGCUGUUUGCGCAGGCGGGGAGAGAUGUUAUGACCGGCCAGGUCUAUGGCCGCCGCAGGCCCAACAGGCAAGCUUAGGCCCGCAAGUUACCUUAGUUUUAUUCAGAUUAGGCAAGUUAUCUCAGGAUUGAUUCUUCUACAAGUUAUCUAGGAUAUAAAUAUAGAUUGUAAGACUCUUUUGGAUGGAAGCAAUAAAGACUAUUAUUAUCUUUUGUUGCCCAGCUCCUAGAGGAGCCGGAAACCCUAGCCGCCGCAACCUAGCUGCCACCGCCCUCAACCCAAGCCGCGACGGCGCCCUGCCGCCGGCGCGCCCGCUCCUCGCCGCGCCCACUUCCUCUUUGCCCCUACAACCUACGCAGUAGAGCCGGUAGGAACCCUAGUCCUACCACUAAUAUAUAUACAUGAUUGUUGCACCAUCACAAGAUUUCCAUUAUAUACAUGGGCAUAACUUUCUUUACUGUGAAUUAAUCGACACGAUGCUUGUGUUUUAAGGAAUGGCAAUGCUAAAUUCUACAGUGGUACACUCUACUCUGUCGAAUGUUUACAAACACCACAAAGCUAGAGAUCUAUUGUGGAAACCUUUCUUUCUUUUGUUUGUUAUAACUUCUUAGUGUAAAAAUAAAUAUGGCUUGUCCAUUACGAAACAAAUAUGUAAGAUUUAUUACUUUUCAAAGUUGAAUUGUUCCUGACAAUUACACAUGAGAGUGCAUAUAAUUCAGUUGUGCUGACUUGCUGUUUCUAAAAUGAUAAGCUGGAGCUGGAGUUACAUAUGAGAGUACAGAUAAUUAAGUUGUGCUCCUGACUUGAUUAACAAAAGCUGCAGAAGAAAGGGACAAAAUACCAAAAAGCUGAAAAUUUGAAGAAAGGUGGAAGUAGGGAACUACCCAACUUGAUUCAAGAUUACGAAGGGAAAAAGGGCAUUGAUUGAGCAGGAGAAAACAAUAAUGGGCCGAGGCAAGGAUAUAGUGCUCAGUUAGUAAAGAGAUAUGUGGGAAGUGGAGCAGCGGGAUGCAAAUGGAAUUUUUGUGACUCACUGAAGGUGAGCAAAACUUCAGAAAAGAAAUUGCAACAGAAGUAGAGCCUCAUCACCAAGAGAACAUAGGGAUUUUAAGUUUUUUGUAGCCUGCACCGGAGACUGUAGAGUUAAGUUUCUACAUCUCAGUGUACAAUUUAACUAUAUCAGGUUAUUUACUAUGUAGUAAAUAUUUGCUUUUGCCAUUGCUGAUCAUGUCCUUCUCUCUGUGCUUGGAAGCAUAAACUUACUUAGCGAUCCUUUUUUGUUAGGCUAAACUUACAUCCUUCUGCUAAUAGUUUAGUGAUCUAAUGAUUAUAAUGAUUAUUCAAAAGGGACAUUGCAUGUUCCUAGAUGCAUAGCCUUUCUUAUAUAUGUUUUCAUAACACUGGAUUUUUUUAGGGAUAACACUAGGAUUUUAGUUUUUUUGUUGAAUUCUGAAACUGAAAUCCGAAUAAACCAUAUCUUGAAAGGCCAGCAUAAUGGCACUUCAAAUAAAUGCUAAUCUACACUCACACUGCAGGCUGGUGCCCGUUCUUCUGGUGAUUUGGUCAAAGCUACUACUAAGCAAAGAUAUUUUGCAUGCUAUAAGAACAUGUAGGUUCAUAUCGGGCACCCAUACGAUCCUGCUAAGAAUUUUGAAUUACUUAGAUAUAUUAGCAACAACAUCGUUUAAAAUCCAAAUGAAUGGCAUACUCCCUGUUAAUUCAAAUGCAGAUACAAACUUUAAGCUUUUCUAAAUAAGGAAAUAUAUUUACAGUCCAAGUGUAGUAAUCUGGGAGUUUGAAAUUAUUUCCCCUUUUUAAAAAGCCAGAGACAUUGAAGUUAAUAUUCACAUACAUGGCAGGGAAGGAUUGAUCUCUCUGCUUAGCAAUGAAUUUGUAGCACCCGAUGAAAACAAAUAUUGUGCAGACCCUAUGGCGUCAUUGUGUUAGUAGGCCGUAUUGGCGUUGCAAUCUCCUCUUGGACUAACUAAUGCAUAGGUUAUAAAGCACAUCAAACCUUUUGUAGACCAACAAAUCCAACAUGCUAUGUAGAUCUUGUGUGUACGGAUUAAUCUGAUUGAUGACUGAUGGAAAGCUUCAGGACUUGUAUUCCCCCCUCACCCCAUAUCUGUAGUUUCCUAUGAGUCACUUUCAAAUCUGGAUAUUCUCCUAUAUAUUAACUACUGCAUUGGAGGAAAUUAAGUCACUUGCAAUCUACAAUUAAAGAAUAAUUAAGUGGGACCUUGAGAAACAAUAGUUUGCCAUGGUCUGCAAUGGGGCAGAGCCAAAGAGUUUGACCAGAAUAAAAGUCUGGACAACAAAAUUCAAUGGAGAGAGAUAUCCAUCUGUUACCCACAAAUGAUUAUUUUUUUGUUAGUGCCUCUUCUUCUUUCUUGCCCAUUAUUUAGUUAUAACGUGACAAAAUAAACAUGUUGAUUAUACCCGACUUGCACUGAACAUGAAAUUUUUGUUUAUGCACAAACAUGCGAGUUGUGUAGUACUGUAGGUUGACACUGCAUCGAAACAUAACACACAAUUACAUGUGCGUGUAUGAGGAGAAACUAUACCUGCAGCACACAUCCAUCUAUCUCGGUUUAUGGUGAACUGGCAAAUUUAUGGUAAUGAAGCAUGUAGCUGAGGUGUGAGACAAAUCUUCCGUAGAGUGUUAAUGUUGUUAGUAGUAAUUAACUUGUCUCCUAGGAGCUAACUGCAGCAACUUACCUUGAUUGUUAGAUACAGUAUAGCAUUAUUCAUCUUCAUCCAUGAUUGAUUCUUCUGUUUGCUGCAAUUCUUUGACAAUUCUUAGCAUCACACAACCAAAGGUGAGAAGCAAAAAUUUGAAGCACGGAACAAAAAAUUCACAAACCAAUGCAUUUAGUAACCAUCGUGGUUCUUACAGGUCCUUUCCUUUGCAAUCCAAAUUCCAGUUCUAUGACUUGAAAGGAAGGAUGAAGUCCAUGUCAUGAAAAUUUUAAUAUGUGGUCGCUGCCUCCUCCAGCCAUGGAUUUCAAAGGUACGCAGAUUCACCUACAACAUGCAUAUGGGAGAACUUGCAGAUCUGAAGGAAUCAAGCAUCUAGCUAAGGUGCUUGUAGCCACGAUCAGUGCUCCAUCGAGCAAUUUCUUAGGGCUGCACAGAUGCAACAACCUGGUAGAUAGGAUCAUCCUCUAUCAAAAAUAGCCAAAGGAAGAUGUCAACAUCAGAGAUCCCAUAUAGGCCAGGAUAAUGUCAAAAUAUCUUGGCAUGGGCACGUGGCUCAUAGCCUGAACUUGACACCGUUUACUCCAUGCUCGUGGUGGAGGCCUAGUCUCGACGGGGGCAUGGCAGUGGCGUGCGUUAGGAUUGGAUUCCGUCGAAGACCUAUGAUUGAUUUUCUAGCUGAGGCUGCGUGCGUGAGGGCUGGAGAGUCGGUUGUAGCCACGGGAUUCUGGCGGCGGCAGCGUGCGUGAAGGCAGGGGAGUCUGUAGCCCUAUUAUGUUUUUCUUCUUUCAACGAUGGACUCAGGUAAUGGCAUGACCCUGUAUAUUUUAUCUUCUUUUCAUCAUGGAGUCAAGGUUUCUAAAAAAAUUAUGGCAUUGCUGAAUCGUAGAGGCAGGUGAAAGCUAUUUUGACGCAUCAUAUGCUUUAGUAGGAGUUAUCUCUACCUCUCUAUCUCUACCUAAUCUCUACCUAAUAAUAAUAAAGCAAAUUGGGUUUCUGCUUGUCCGUCAUUAGCAUUUUUUCUAAAAAGGCCCUCCCUUUUUUAGUAUUUAACCCGCAGUAUAAUUUAAAGUCUGUUUCUUCCUGAGAUAAUGAUUCGUUUUUUGCAAAAAGGACCCCGGCACCACCACCACAGCCCCGCCUUAUCCACUGCCGGCAUUCACAAACGGGCAGCGGCGCGCUUGCCGCGGCGUCCGCUCCGCCCGAGCCCUGUAAUUGGGCGAGGCGUCGCGGCGGCGUUCCUGCACGCCUUGUCGGCCUUGGAGCUAGCCUUGGCGGGGGCGGGCCGAGGCGUCGCGGCGGAGGACGAUAAGCAGACGAGCACGCGCCGCCGGCGCGUUUGCCGUGGGCGUCCGCUACGCCCGAGCCCAGGAGUGGGGCGAGGGGUCGCGCCGGCGUUCCUACGCGCCUUGUCGCCCUUGAAGCUGGCCUUGGCGGACCGAGGCGUCGCGGCGGAGGACGACAAGGCGGCCGACGUGCUCUGUUGGGGCCACGCGUCGCGGCGCUCCGGCUCCAGCAGAUGACGGCAGAGAGCCAGGUGUGGCUUUGUGUCGCCAACAGCCACGAGGUCAUCGGCACCGGCCACCGUGCCAGGCUGGACCAGCUGCUGCAGCCCCCCUGCGCCGUCGCCGUCGCCGUGGCAGAAGAAGCGCGAGUUCCCCCUCGCUAUCGGAGGCUGGGUGUCGUUCUCCAGUGCAGAUUGUCUAAUUGAGUUUCUGAAAGCGUCGUCCACGUCUGCACUUCAUGGGUCCAUACACUGGGAACUCACGCCUGAGAACUUCCUGCUCACCAGAUUGGUUUCAGUUUCUCUGUCUCCAUCGAAGAAGGUCAGCCCUUUGCCUCGAACAGUUUCAUGAUUACACUCAUGACAUGAUUUACAGUACAGUAGUCUCAUGCGUUGAGCUCAUAAUACUGCAGUACGGACAUACAUUUUCCAAGCAUAAAUUAAUGCAGAAGUUAUUGCAACAGGAGGGCCUCUAAUUGUAAUUCAUAUACACAUUUCAGCUCAAUAACCAUAUAACGCAUCUUGCCCGAGCUUGAUACUUCCGACUAUCUCCAUGUCUUUCGGGUCAAAGUUAAGUUAGCUCUAUAUCCGAGCAGGCAUUUUAUUCUUUGGGAGCAAGCAAGAAUCAAUAUAUUCUCUCGCAAUAUUAUUUCCUCCUUCCCCUUGUCUUCCUAAUCCCCUGCAGAUGGCAUGACUAGCUAGGUUCAUAACAGUUGUUGUAACUAUCCGUCCGGUCAUGAAUCAACAAUUACAAUUGUUUUGACUUCUACGAUCAGUUCAGCCGCCUAUGUUGUACUGCCGCUGCCAUUUAAAGAUUUAAGUUGUCAGGUGGAUAUAGGUUCCAUUAGAUUGAAAGUAAUGAAAUUUUAUUUGCCAACCUGGCUGCACUUUGUGAUGCUUUAUUUAUGUAUAUACUUAAAGUUCAAAUGUGAUGUAUGCUUUACUCCUUAUUUGAUACUUGCAUUUGUCGCAAGCACCUUGCUGUUCUGAGUAAUGGUUGAUAUCUUACAUUUAGCCGAGAAGCUGAAAACUUACGAGAUGGAAAACCUUCUAGAUAUACCUAAAAAGACCUUGAAGAUAUCUUCUACUAGACUGGACGAGCUGAUUGACUGGCGAUGGGGAUGCAGCAGUGACCUGCAAUUCUUUCUGCUGUGGAUGGUUCAUUUUGAAAUCUUUUUUAUAUCUGAC